AUGGGCCCCAGGCUCCUGUGCUGGGUGACCCUCUGUCUCCUGGGGGCAGGUUCGGCGGCUACUGAAGUCACCCAGUCCCCAAGACACCUAAUCCAAGUCCUUGGGGAGAAGGCGGUUCUGGAAUGUCACCCCAAACCUGGACACGAUACACUCUACUGGUACCAGCAGGCUCAGGGGCAGGGCCCCCAGUUCCUCAUUUCCUUUUUUGAAACGGAGGAGAGAGCCAGAGGAAUCUUCCCUGAGCACUUCUCAGCCAACCAGUCGGGUGACUACAGCUCUGAGCUGGCCAUCAGCGCCCUGCAGCUGGCAGACUCGGCCGUGUACCUCUGUGCCAGCAGCUUAGACACAGCCCUGCAGGGCCCGUGGCUCUCUGUACUCAAACCUCCCUGUCCCAGCUGAGAGAGCCCCAGGAGAGGGAGGGGCC